rnacentral:rRNA from 1 species
CCUACGGGAGGCAGCAGUGAGGAAUAUUGGUCAAUGGGCGCGAGCCUGAACCAGCCAAGUAGCGUGAAGGAUGACUGCCCUACGGGUUGUAAACUUCUUUUAUAAAGGAAUAAAGUGAGGCACGUGUGCCUUUUUGUAUGUACUUUAUGAAUAAGGAUCGGCGAACUCCGUGCCAGCAGCCGCGGUAAUACGGAGGAUCCGAGCGUUAUCCGGGUUUAUGGGGUUGAAAGGGAGCGUAGAUGGGUUGUGACGUCAGUUGUGAAAGUUUGCGGCUCAACCGUAAAAUUGCAAUUGAUACUGGCAGUCUUGAUUACAGUUGCGUUAGGCGGAAUUCGUGUUGUAGCGGUGAAAUGCUUCGAUAUCACG